GAUGAACGCUGGCGGCGUGCCUAAUACAUGCAAGUCGAGCGAACAGAUGAUGAGCUUGCUCCUCUGACGGUAGCGGCGGACGGGUGAGUAACACGUGGAUAACCUACCUAUAAGACUGGGAUAACUUCGGGAAACCGGAGCCAAUACCGGCUAAUAUAUUGAACCGCAUGGUUCAAUAGUGAAAGACGGUUUUGCUGUCACUUAUAGAUGGAGCCGCGUCGCAUUAGCUAGUUGGUAAGGUAACGGCUUACCAAGGCAACGAUGCGUAGCUGACCUGAGAGGGUGAUCGGCCACACUGGAACUGAGACACGGUCCAGACUCCUACGGGAGGCAGCAGUAGGGAAUCUUGCGCAAUGGGCGAAAGCCUGACGGAGCCACGCCGCGUGAGUGAUGAAGGUCUUCGGAUCGUAAAACUCUUUUAUUAGGGAAGAACAAAUGUGUAAGUAACUAUGCACGUCUUGACGGUACCUAAUCAGAAAGCAACGGCUAACUACGUG
rnacentral:rRNA from 1 species